rnacentral:rRNA from 1 species
CAGGAAACCCCUGACACUGUGGUGGAACCAUCUUUCUGUGGUUCUUACACUGAAUCUGAGCCGACGUGCAUGAUGCAUCAUCAGAGGCCGAAGAAGAUGGUGGCUUUUGAAGGUUCUUUGACUGGCAGGCGUUUCCUGGGUUGUCCUAUGCAGCAGGAUGAAGGUGUGAACUGUGGGGUUGUGGAGUGGGUGGAUGGUCCUUGGCCAGAGAUUCUACAAAGGUGCCUAACCAGGAUUUGGGACAUGUAUCAUGAGCAGAACUUGGGCAGGGUGAAUGACAAACAAGCCCAUGAGAAAGAGGUGGCCAAGCUACAGAAGGAAAUUGAUUUCCUGUCAAACAACUACAGC